GACCCGGUGGCGGACGGCCGCAUCUGCCUUCUGUCACUUGUGGACGCUGUACAAUUACACGCAGAAGGUCCCCGUUCGACUCGGGGUCGGGUCA